GACGAACGCUGGCGGCGUGCUUAACACAUGCAAGUCGAACGGAAAGGCCCUGCUUUUGUGGGGUGCUCGAGUGGCGAACGGGUGAGUAACACGUGAGUAACCUGCCCUUGACUUUGGGAUAACUUCAGGAAACUGGGGCUAAUACCGGAUAGGAGCUCCUGCUGCAUGGUGGGGGUUGGAAAGUUUCGGCGGCUGGGGAUGGACUCGCGGCUUAUCAGCUUGUUGGUGGGGUAGUGGCUUACCAAGGCUUUGACGGGUAGCCGGCCUGAGAGGGUGACCGGCCACAUUGGGACUGAGAGACGGCCCAGACUCCUACGGGAGGCAGCAGUGGGGAAUAUUGCACAAUGGGCGGAAGCCUGAUGCAGCAACGCCGCGUGCGGGAUGACGGCCUUCGGGUUGUAAACCGCUUUCGCCUGUGACGAAGCGUGAGUGACGGGAAUGGGUAAAGAAGCACCGGCGAACUACGU
rnacentral:rRNA from 1 species